rnacentral:rRNA from 1 species
GAGUUUGAUCAUGGCUCAGGAUGAACGCUAGCUGGAGGCUUAAUACAUGCAAGUCGAGCGGGAUUGGUCAGCAAUGGCCAUGAGAGCGGCGCACGGGUGAGUAACGCGUACACGACCUACCUUUGACUGGGGGAUAGCCCUGGGAAACUGGGAUUAAUACCGCAUAUAAUUCUGAUUAAUAAGGGAUUGGAAUGAAAGUUCAGGCGGUCAGGAGAUGGGUGUGCGUCUGAUUAGCUAGUUGGUGAGGUAACGGCUCACCAAGGCGAUGAUCAGUAGGGGCGUGAGAGCGUGGUCCCCACACGGGUACUGAGACACGGACCGACUCCUACGGGAGGCGAGCAGUAAGGAAUAUUGGGUCAAUGGGCGAAAGCCUGAACCAGCCAUCCAGCGUGCAGGAAGAAGGCCCUAUGGUUGUAAACUGCUUUUGUCAGGGAAUAAACCUGUGGAUUAUCCGCAGCUGAAGGUACCUGAAGAAUAAGCACCGGCUAACUCCGUGACAGCCGCCGCC